UAAAACUAACAAUUCAGGAUCAGCAACCCAACAACGGGUUGUCUGAUUCAUCCGAAAAUUUCAGAGCAGAUAAAUCUUGACCUGAUAAACACCUUUACUCCAGAUUUUUUUUUUUCAUUUUGGUUGGAUGGCCGGGUCACCGCACACAUUUUUGAAACUACAUACCCCAAAGAUGGUUGUGGCCAAGUUUGGAUUGAUUUGGCCAAGCAGUUUCAGAGGAGAAGAUUUUUGUAAAAAAAUUACUAAGAUUUACGAAAAAAUGGUUAAAAAUUGACUAUAAAGGGCAAUAACUCCUAAACGGGUCAACUGACCAUUGUGGUCAUUUUGACUUAUUUGUAAAUCUUAUUUUGCUGAACAUUAUUGCUGUGUACAGUUUAUCUCUAUCUAUAAUAAUAUUCAAGAUAAUAACCAAAAACAGCAAAAUUUCAUUAAAAUUACUAAUUCUGGGGCGGCAUCCCAAAACUGGGUUGUCAGAUUCAUCAGAAAAUUUCAGGGCAGGUAGAUCUUGACCUGAUAAACAAUUAUACCCCUGUCAGAUUUACUAUAAAUGCUUUGGUGUUUGAGUUAUAAGCCAAAAACUGCAUUUUACCCCAGAUUCUAUUUUUAGCCAUGGCAGCCAUAUUGAUUGGAUGGCCGGGUCACCGAACACAUUUUUGAAACUACAUACCCCAAAGAUGGUUGUGGCCAAGUUUGGAUUGAUUUGGCCAAGUAGUUUCAGAGGAGAAGAUUUUUGUAAAAGAUAACUAAGAUUUACGAAAAAUGGUUAAAAAUUGACUAUAAAGGGCAAUUACUCCUAAAGGGGUCAACUGACCAUUUCGGUCAUGUUGACUUAUUUGUAAAUCUUACUUUGCUGAACAUUAUUGCUGUUUACAGUUUAUCUCUAUCUAUAAUAAUAUUCAAGAUAAUAACCAAAAACAGCAAAAUUUCCUUAAAAUUACUAAUUCAGGGGCAGCAACCCAACAACAGGAUAUCCGAUUUAUCUGAAAAUUUCAGGGCAGAUAGAUUUUGACCUGUUUAACAAUUUAACCCCUGUCAGAUUUGCUCUAAAUGCUUUGAUUUUUGAGUUAUAAGCCAAAAACUGCAUUUUACCCCUAUGUUCUAUUUUUAGCCAUG
rnacentral:lncRNA from 1 species